UAACAACAACCAGGUUAGGUUGGUGUCGGCAAUUAACCCAAAUCCAAAAUUAAUGAGACAAAAAGGAUAUAAAUGCCUUAUGAUUAUACUAAUGAUGGGCUGAGCUGGUCUAAGCGGUCACCUAAUCCAUUUCAUUGCAUUUGCCCGUAAACUCUGCAAUUAAAGCCCCUCUCUUCCUUCCCCAAAGCAUCAGAAAAAAAAUUCCUUUUUAUUUGUCUUCCGUCUAAGGCGCAUGUUAGAUUCUCUUAGCAUAUAUUUAAAAAUAGAAAGUUCCCCUCUUCUCACUCUUGUCUUUCUUCGUUUCUUCUUACAGGAACCCUAAAUUUCAGGGUUUUUUUUUUUUUUUUUUUUAUGUAAGAGAUCCUGCGAUCGUGAAAAUGAUGGUCUUAUAGUUGAUGAUGAAAUUGAAGUUCAGAAUUCAGUCAAAACACCAAAGAACUGAGCAGCGUUUGUGACAAAAGAAUUAUCAAGGUUUUGUCUUGCAUUUGGAAGCUGAAGCAAUUUUCUUUUAUAAAUUUCUCAGCAAGCUUUAAAAGCUGUUCUUAAAUUGAGUAAUCCGAAAUACAUAUAUUGCAAGCUUAAAUGGGUGCUUUUUGCUGCUGUCCAUGUGGUGAUGAAUAUGAAGAAUAUGCUUAUUCUAGCAAUUCAAUAUAUAGGCACUGUAUUUGCCUAAGAUUCUUCUUCUACCAGCUAUUCACUGGGUAUAGUGCAUUGUUUAAUAGAUUGGAAGGGCGGCAUGUAUCAUCCCAGAUCCAGGCAGCUUCUCUGUCAUCAACAGCAAUUGUUACCACAAUACCAGAUAAUUCAGCCAACGAAACUCAUGUUACAAUUUCCAGACCUGUCCUUUAUGAUACCGAGCAGAGGUACUCUCGCUUGCAGCGUGAUGGCUUGGUCUCUAGGCGUGAUAAGUCUGUGACUCAUUUUCAAGACGAAACACAACCACUAAGAAGAAAUAUGAGCAGUUCUGGUAUGGAAUCAUUGGGUAUUGGGAGGAAACGGAAUGGAGUGGAGUCAGAAGAAGACUCUAAAAUUGCCCAUCCUGAGUCAUCAGAGAGGACUUUGGCACCAAAAGUUGCAUAUAGACCUGAUUAUAUGCAGCCUUCAUCUGAAGAUGAAGAUGUCUGCCCCACUUGUCUUGAUGAAUAUACCCUUGAAAAUCCUAAAAUCAUUGCACGCUGCUCACACCAUUUUCAUCUUGGUUGUAUUUAUGAAUGGUUGGAAAGGAGCGAAAGUUGUCCAAUAUGUGGCAAGGAGAUGGAGUUCUGUGAAAGCCCUUAAGUCUGUUGCAUCUGAUUCCAAUGCAAUGGAGCAAAUACGUAUAGAGCAGCAGCAGGUUGAUAUUUCCAUGCUGAAUAUAUAAGCUUUUUCUCACUGGUAUAACCAUAAUUUAUUUGCCGAUCAACUAAUUAUAGAGGUCCAAGUUGGAUUCGAGACUCGUAAUCCUAUCUAUUCGUAUACUCGUGUAAAACACAAACAAUUAGUGUUGCCGAGAGCAGAUUUCUUUUUCCAACGUACUUGUGAUACUGUAGACUUCAAUUUAGUAUAUUCACUACUCCAUUUAUUAGCAACUUGGAAGGAAAAUAUGACCUCCAACUACCUUGUUUGAGGUCUUUGAGUGCUCUCUCUUUACAAAAUAGGACCCAACAUAUUAACAUGUAGAUGCAAAUCAAUGUCGACCAUUUUGGAGGCUUUAAUGUUUGAAAAUAUGAAACUCUUUGCUCCUUUUUUUUUAAAGUUCUUGUCAAUGUCAUUGCAAAGAAAAGGGGUACUUUACUAGUAUUUCCAUUAUUCACUUGUCAGCCUUGUUUUAUUCAUGCAAAUCGUAAAACGUAAAGAGCAAUAGCUUGGCAAUGAAAGGGUAGUGUUUGAUCAUUAUAGGAC